UUGUCAGCAGCCGCGGUAAUACGUAGGGGGCAAGCGUUGUCCGGAUUUAUUGGGCGUAAAGAGCGUGUAGGCGGCCAGGUAGGUCUGCUGUGAAAACUCGAGGCUUAACCUCGAGCUGUCGGCGGAAACCAUCUGGCUAGAGUCCGGAAGAGGAGAAUGGAAUUCCCGGUGUAGCGGUGAAAUGCGCAGAUAUCGGGAAGAACACCCGUGGCGAAGGCGGUUCUCUGGGACGGUACUGACGCUGAGACGCGAAAGCGUGGGGAGCGAACAGGAUUAGAAACCCUGGUAGUCC
rnacentral:rRNA from 1 species